UACGGGGGGGGCAAGCGUUUGUUCGGAAUUACUGGGCGUAAAGGGUUCGUAGGUGGCCUGCUAAGUCACACGUGAAAUCCCUCAGCUUAACUGGGGAACUGCGUCUGAUACUGGCGAGCUUGAGUGCAGGAGAGGAACGCGGAAUUCCAGGUGUAGCGGUGAAAUGCGUAGAUAUCUGGAGGAACACCGGUGGCGAAGGCGGCGUUCUGGACUGCAACUGACACUGAGAAACGAAAGCCAGGGUAGCAAACGGG
rnacentral:rRNA from 1 species